GCGAGAUUAACUCAACUGGGAGAGUGCCACCCUUACAAGGUGGAAGUUACAAGUUCGAGCCUUGUAUUUCGCA
rnacentral:tRNA from 1 species